AUCGCCUCCUCUCUCAUACACGUCCAGCAGCCCCUCUCCUUUCUUCUCUUUUCCUUUUCCUUCUCUUUUCUUCCAUCUCCCUUCUCUGUUCUCAGUAGCCGCACCGCAACCCCUCCAUUUCCUCUUCUCUUUGGCUCACACGCAUCAUCCUUCUUCUUUUCUUCUUCCUUUCUCUCCAAUUUCAGACACAGUGAUAGAGGCCGUGAGAGAUCGAGAGAGAGAGCUACCGAGAGGAUGAGACACUGAGAUCGUGAGAGAUGCAGGGACCUACGGACUGGAGGGAAGAAAACUGAGGUUUUGGUCCAUGGGGGUUCGGUAUUUGGGAAUAAAACGGAUCGUGUCAUAAUUGGAGAGUUCAAUGGGUUCUCUAAUGUAGAGUUCGAGUCGUGAUUUCAAUGCAGCCAAGAUGAUGUUUCUUUGGCUGCAGGUAUUCCAGUCGUAGUAUAUGGUGUUGUAGAAGUAUACUGAGGAUAUUAUGACUGAAGCUCAACGCGACGGUUUUAAUGUGUUAGACCGCGGGAUGUCUAUUCCUUUAGGUAUUUUGAUUAUGGCUUGUGACGCUCGUGCCACAUGAUCUUUGUUAAGCCAUUCAUGUUAUGUAUUUAAUUCGAGGAAAGAUUUAAUCAUAUAGUUAUUUAAUGGCUCUUUGUUGUAAUUAUUUGUGAUAGGUGUAUAAGAUGUGACUUCCGCAAUUAGGUUA